GGUCUUGUAGCUCAAUGGUUAGAGCACUGGUCUAGUAAACCAGGGGUUGUGAGUUCAAUUCUCACCGAGGCCU